UGAUAAUGGAGGAUAGCAGAAGAACAUUAUGUGGUAACAGCCUCGAUGACAAACCCACCACAACAUCGAUCACGAACCCACUGAACCUUUUUUUUGUCUAUGUUACUGUGAACGACAAGGUAAUCAUCAAAAGUGGAUGGUCAGCAUUGAAUCCUUUAAUCGUUUGUGAAGGGUCCAACCUCGCCACAUUUCUAACAGGGAUUGCGACAUGUUUCUCCACCUUCUAUAUUCUGAAUCUGCAAUAUCAGGAGGAGGCAGCGUGCACCCUUGAAUUCUUCCAGAGAAAAAGGCCCAGAAGAAGCCUAAGAACAAUCACUAAUAAGUAAAGUGAAUGUUACUUGAUUUCUCAUGAAUGUUACUUGAUUCCCUCCCUGAUUAUCAUUUAUACUCAUCUCU